AGACAAUUCAAAGCAUACAGGCUCCUUCAGAAACAAUUCACCUAUCCAUGGCAUUUCAUCAAAUUAUUUGUUUGUUUUGUCUGGUUAUGCUUCUGUCUGCUUUCACAUCAGGAGUCUCACUGAUAUAAGUAGGAUGCACUGCAUUGAUCCAUAGGCUCCAUGGCUCAGUGGUAUGCUUAAUGCCCUAGAAAAGUUAGCACGGGGAGAGCGGCAUAAAAGGAGCCACACCGCCAGUAGAGACAGAGAGAGCCUGGGCACCAGAGAGCCGAUUGUGAAGCCAAGAGUUUAUUAUUGAGUUGAGAGUUUAUUUUUGUGAAAUAGUUUGUGUAUUUUAGAGUGAGUCAUUGAACAGUGUAAGAGCCCUGAACGAGUGCAUUUGCUGCAGUAAGGAAAAUAAAAUGCUUACCUGAACCAGGAGAUCUGCUUCUCGCCUCCUCCUUCCACUGAGAAGUGUUGCAAGAACCUUAAAGUGUUCUAUCACUCGCUUCAUACUUGGAACUCCUAAA